CCCACCCUUCCUGGAGGCUCUGGGGAGAACCCGUUUUCUUGCCUUUCCCAGCUUCUUGAGACCACCUGCCCCCCGUGGCACGUGACCCUUCCUCCGGGUUCAGAGCCAGCAGCAGCCAGUCUCCGCAGCCUUUCUCACAUCACAGCGCACUGAAGCCAGCUCUCCGGCCUCCCCAUUCCAUGUUGUUGGCAUCCUCUACUGCUGUCCGUCCCCAAAGAUGACCUCUGAAGACCACGACCGGCUCUUUCCAUCGUGGCACUGAGCGGAGGGCCUGGUACAGAGGACAGGAUCAACAAGUACUCAUGUCUCAGGUCACGUGGUCCAGAGAGCGCUAACCCAAUCCUUCAUGCUUCAGGGGUGCACAUAUGACCCUGGCCAGGUGACUCACAGCCAGUGAGGCCCAGAUCUGAAACUUUUGUUGGAACAUUGGGCAGAGGAAAUCUCGGGCUGCUGACAGGAGAGAAUGUUGGCCUGGAGAAGCCAUAAGAUGACGACACCACAGAAAGAAGCAGAGCCCUUUGAGCCCUGGAUCCAGCCGUGCCUGAGGGACACCGUGGACUUGGCAGUUAUGUGCAUUAAUACAUUUCC